UGCAAGGCACAUCCUACACCCUUCAC
rnacentral:piRNA from 1 species